rnacentral:rRNA from 1 species
GACGAACGCUGGCGGCGUGCCUAAUACAUGCAAGUAGAACGCUGAAGGAGGAGCUUGCUUCUCUGGAUGAGUUGCGAACGGGUGAGUAACGCGUAGGUAACCUGCCUGGUAGCGGGGGAUAACUAUUGGAAACGAUAGCUAAUACCGCAUAAGAGUAGAUGUUGCAUGACAUUUACUUAAAAGGUGCAAUUGCAUCACUACCAGAUGGACCUGCGUUGUAUUAGCUAGUUGGUGAGGUAACGGCUCACCAAGGCAACGAUACAUAGCCGACCUGAGAGGGUGAUCGGCCACACUGGGACUGAGACACGGCCCAGACUCCUACGGGAGGCAGCGGUAGGGAAUCUUCGGCAAUGGACGGAAGUCUGACCGAGCAACGCCGCGUGAGUGAAGAAGGUUUUCGGAUCGUAAAGCUCUGUUGUAAGAGAAGAACGAGUGUGAGAGUGGAAAGUUCACACUGUGACGGUAUCUUACCAGAAAGGGACGGCUAACUACGUG